UCGCGUUGUAUCCGUGGAGAUGAGGACGACAUUGCCUCCAAGUCUGCUCCACCGGCAUCCAUCGACGGUGCAAGAUCCAGCAGAUAGAUUGAUGGCGAAGAGGACGACUCCAUGUCCAGGCGUACUCCCCGCCUUGCAUCGAGAUUGCUAGCUGCAUUCUUUAGUAAAAGACAAAGGAAGAGUUCGCUCUGCUAAUAAAUAUUUCCAGGAAGGUGCUAGACACUGAAUAAGUUGGUGGCAUUUUUCAUGAAAAAAUUGUUGACUUAUUAUUAGCCAUCUGUCUAUACAGGUCAUAAUCGAAGGGUUUACAGGGAGGAGAUCUGAACAUAGCUCUUCAAUCCCAAAGUUAACAUCGUUGGUAAACCCCUUCUGGUGUUACCUCACAAAUAUCACUAAAGUCAUUUUAGCUUUUUGCUA